rnacentral:rRNA from 1 species
UGGUACGCGAGCUGGGUUUAGAACGUCGUGAGACAGUUCGGUCCCUAUCUGCCGUGGGCGCUGGAGAACUGAGGGGGGCUGCUCCUAGUACGAGAGGACCGGAGUGGACGCAUCACUGGUGUUCGGGUUGUCAUGCCAAUGGCACUGCCCGGUAGCUAAAUGCGGAAGAGAUAAGUGCUGAAAGCAUCUAAGCACGAAACUUGCCCCGAGAUGAGUUCUCCCUGAGACUUUAGGUCUCCUGAAGGAACGUUGAAGACGACGACGUUGAUAGGCCGGGUGUGUAAGCGCAGCGAUGCGUUGAGCUAACCGGUACUAAUGAACCGUGAGGCUUAACCUU